CAUUGGUUGGAGAAAGAAACGAAGCAUUCCUUAUAUGGAUGCAAUGGAGUGGAGAAAAUAGUAUGGUUGUUGAGCAUGCGGCAAAGGCAUGAUAUUAUUGCAGAUUCUCCCAUAAUAAGUUCAAGCCCACCGCUAACUGAUGUUGAUCAACUUUGAAGUUUUAAGGGUACAAUAGUGUAACAGCUCAAGUCCACUGCUAACUGAUAUUGUCCACUUUGACUGUUACGUA